UACCAAUUAGAAUCCUCAGAAUCACAAGACACCAAAACUUUGUCUUCUCUUACUUGGUCAAGAAGCUGCAGAUGAUAAGCCUGAGGAAGAAAUGAGAGCCAGGAAUUCUUGCAAGAAAUCUGUGUGGUCAGCAAACGAAAUGGCACAAAAGGUCCUAACAAUUUUUCUCCAUCUUCCUCCCCAGAAAGCUUUUGUUUCAAGGUUCUUCUAUUGAAGCUUUCCAGUGAAGUUAGUAAGAGUUGGGACUUCAACUUCAAUCUGGCUCAGUAACAGUGGGUGGAUGAUAAGCUAAGCUAAAAACAAUUGAGAAGGACAUGCAAAUCAACAAGAAGGUGGUGGAUGGGAAACGGAUUCAGAUCCAACUCACGGGAUUUCUGGAAAAGAAGUUCUUGAGGAGCUUUGGGGAUUUCUGCUCAGUUCACAGAACAAUUCGAAUGGUGGCAUAACAGCCCAAUAACAAAUGUUUGGGGGAAACAAGCUAGCCAUGUCAGGUUAAGUUCAUUCUUUUAUCUUCUCUAAUGUCAAACUUGAUUCUCAAGUUAUCUCUGCAUCCAUGCUGAUUCUAAUGUUCGGGGAGAAUGUGUCUUCGAUGAAUGGUAACAAUUCUGCAGCAGGUAUGAGAAAGCAAAGGACCCAUGCUAAUGAAUUCAUUCGUGAAGAGUAUUCUUUUGAUGGAUUAUCUGUCGAUCAGUCUCCAGGCUCCUGAGGUCAUUCUGCAAACAUGAGCUUAAAAAGGAAGGAAACUCAACGUAAGAGGCAAUUGGAUCUUCUGAAAAGACAUGUACAAAACAAGUUGCUGGAUCUUCAAACAAAACGGAAUAUGGUCACGGAAGGGUAAAGAACAUUCGAAAUGGUAUUUCUCAUGAUAAAUGACAUUUGUCCAAGAUGACCACAUGGGAUGCAUCUGUGUCCAAAGAAGUGUCUAAUAAGCUGGUCCUUAAAAGCUCUUAUGUGGAACUUUCUGUAUUUGAUGCCAUAAAUCGGUUAGUGAUGGUAUACAGAGAGUCAUGUUGUCAAAUUCAUAGGUAUCAUUAGGAUUCUGAAGAGACCGAUAUGCCUAAUUAUUAAAGGCCAUUAGGCAUUAAAUGUUUGUCUCCAUAGAUAAAGUUUUCCUCCAUCACCUCCACUUUGUGUUAGACAAUCACCGUAAGGAUUAAGCACAUCUUUUCGUAUAGCGUACUGUUUGAUGCAUUCUAUUUUACUUUGUCAGCUAAAGUGGCAAAAUAGGGAUGCCAUUGAGUUGAAUUUGUGGUGCAACUUUGGCACACAUGACUGCUAUAUCUUCUUGGUAUUUAUAUAUAGCUUUAUAAAGACCUUUUUUUUUUUUCUUCUGUUGGAGCUUGAAUUACUUUAAGGCUUUAACUUUGCUUCGACUAGCCACAUCUUGUACUUGAUACUUCCUUUAGGAUCUAUAUGCUAGUUCCUUGUAGUUCAAAGUCUCAUCCAUCAUAAGCUGCGAGGGCCUCGGCAUGAUAUUUCUUCAGUAUUUGGUAUUCGAUAACAUCCUCAGGAAAAAGUGACCUUGUGGUGCAUAUGGUGUAUUGAGAAUCGAAAGCUCUAGUCAUAUCGCAACUCUUGAGAUCCCAAAUGGGUAAAGGUAACUUCAUUGGUAAGUGUUAGUACUUGAAAAAAUUAAUUGCUCUUUUUCACUUAAAGUAUCUCAAACCUGUCUUUGCAAGCCGAUACAUAGUUACAUCACAAAUAAUUCUAUGAAUUUUCGCUAUCGUACUUAAAAGACUUAUCGUCAUGCUUUCAGGUUCACUGCAAUUAUGUUCCCUUCGUGCAACGAAUGGAAUCCGUGGCUGUACCUGUUUCACGAGGAAACGAGACCUUUCGGAUCUGCCAUGCCAAGAGUUUUCUCUCCGUCCAACACAAAUCCGGAUAAACUACACACGUUCGAUAACUGUUCGAGGUCAGCACAACAAAGCCGAAACAGAGAUGGCGGCCCACCACAGGGACAGGACAAAGGGCGAGUUGAUGGCGAGUCGGAGGCGCAGAUUGGGCCAACGCUCCUCUGCCGUGCAGUUGCCGUGAAGAUGCAUGCAACCGGACAUUGGGAUAAGAAAGCGGCAAGCGCCGGAUGUCGACACCCCCCCCUUUAUUGUGCUCAAUGAUGUGAAAGAUUCUGCAAGCACGUGGUGUGGAAAGCACCACCAGGGACUUGCUUCACAACAACAGGGUGAGAGGACCCAGAGAGGUUGUUGGUAUUAUGAGAAGUACAGUUGUGUUCUACACCACACACGCUCCAGGAGAGAGUGGGAAGCUAAAUAGUCGAUAGAACAUGGACGAUGGGAGCCCUAUCAUCUCCUACAGAAGUAAACUU